AACGAACGCUGGCGGCAUGCCUAACACAUGCAAGUCGAACGAGACCUUCGGGUCUAGUGGCGCACGGGUGCGUAACGCGUGGGAACCUGCCCUUAGGUUCGGAAUAACUCCCCGAAAGGGGUGCUAAUACCGGAUAAUUUCUUCGGACCAAAGAUUUAUCGCCUUUGGAUGGGCCCGCGUUGGAUUAGCUAGUUGGUAGGGUAAAAGCCUACCAAGGCGACGAUCCAUAGCUGGUCUGAGAGGAUGAUCAGCCACACUGGGACUGAGGCACGGCCCAGACUCCUACGAGAGGCAGCAGUGGGGAAUAUUGGACAAUGGGCGAAAGCCUGAUCCAGCAAUGCCGCGUGAGUGAUGAAGGCCUUAGGGUUGUAAAGCUCUUUUACCCGGGAUGAUAAUGACAGUACCGGGAGAAUAAGCUCCGGCUAACUCCGUG
rnacentral:rRNA from 1 species